GUGCCAGCCGCCGCGGUAACACGUAGGGAGCAAGCGUUGUCCGGAUUUAUUGGGCGUAAAGAGCUCGUAGGCGGUUCGGUAAGUCGGGUGUGAAAACUUGAGGCUCAACCUCAAGAGGCCACUCGAUACUGCUGUGACUAGAGUCCGGUAGAGGAGUGUGGAAUUCCUGGUGUAGCGGUGAAAUGCGCAGAUAUCAGGAGGAACACCGACAGCGAAGGCAGCACUCUGGGCCGGUACUGACGCUGAGGAGCGAAAGCAUGGGGAGCAAACAGGAUUAGAUACCCUGGUAGUCCAUGCCGUAAACGUUGGGCACUAGGUGUGGGGUCUCGCUAACAGAUUCCGUGCCGCAGCUAACGCAUUAAGUGCCCCGCCUGGGGAGUACGGCCGCAAGGCUAAAACUCAAAGGAAUUGACGG
rnacentral:rRNA from 1 species